ensembl:snoRNA
GACCUCCCAGGAUCGCAUCUGGAGAGCUGUCAGUACUCUUCCAGCUUCGGAAGCGGGAGGGAAAGGCACUGCAGAGGAAUACCCAUUCCCUUGCUAGCUUUAAAAGUGGCUAGUGAGUGGAAGAUAGUCUGCUACAGGU